rnacentral:misc_RNA from 1 species
UUGAAUAAACUUGGUUUAGGUUGUUGCUGGCCCUAUAGGGUAUGUGCACACUUAUUCCGACUUUAUAACCCCCAUGUGCACUUUGUGUAGAUCUGAAUAAGUCUCGAGGCUGACUCGGUUUGAAGGAAUGCUGUGUAUAAUGCCAGCUUUACUUUUAUACUUUUCAGAUCUAUGUUUCAUUAUACACCAUAUAAAGUUUUAUGAAUGUGACGUUUAGGCGUUGUGCCUAUUAAGUAUAAAUA